rnacentral:rRNA from 2 species
GUUAACUCAUUACGCACUCCGCCUGAGUAGUACGUACGCAAGUAUGAAACUUAAAGGAAUGGUCGGGCCUCCGCACAAGCGGUGGAUCAUGCUGUUUAAUUCGAAGGUACCCGAAAACCCUCACCAGGUCUUGACAUGCUUCUGCAAAGCUGUAGAAACACAGUGGUGGUUAUCAGUUGCACAGGUGGUGCAUGGUUGUCGUCAGCUCGUGUCGUGAGAUGUUGCGUUAAGUCUCGCAACGAGCGCAACCCUUAUUGUUAGUUACCAGCACGUAAUGGUGGUGACUUUAGCAAGACUGCCAGUGAUAACUUGGAGGCAGGUGCGGUCGGCGUCAAAUCAUCAUGCCCCUUAUGACCUGGGCUACAAACGUGAUACAAUGGCUGUUACAAAGGGUAGCUGAAGCGCGAGUUCUUGGCGAAUCUCAAAAAAACAGUCUCAGUUCGGAUUGAAGUCUGCAACUCGUCUUCAUGAAGCUGGAAUCGCUAGUAAUCGCGAAUCAGCAUGUCGCGGUGAAUACGUUCACG